CACCAACUAAGGAAAGUGACGAGCUUGCAGAUGGAUAAAUUAUCUGACUCUACUCGAUUGAAGAGGAUUCGGCCUGAUUUCCCGCUACAAGAUGGUUUAUGCUUGGAUUGGCUUCCCACUAAUUGGAUGUCGGGAGAUCGGUUAUGCGCCUGACUGUGCAGGGUGUCAUAGGACCGGUCAUCGACGACAUCGAUUUCAUUACCGACGAUAGGACGGAUAUCAAAUUUGGACCAAAAAUCGAUGCCCAGGAUGCACGCACGAUUCAGAUCCGGUGCGAUGAUGACUGGUGAAAGCGUAGGGCACGUUCACUCAACUGUCGCUUACCUAACGGAUCGAUCCUACGGAUGGUUAGCUCGUAAUCCAGCUCGUCGACUGUGAGAUGAGCACAGUUCAUCCCAUAGUACAGGACAUACAAGUGGGACAUAUCCAUUUUGAGAAGCCAAGGUAUAAAUGAUUUUUUUUACGAAGUAAAUACUGAUAGAUAGAGAAAAACUUAAUCACUACAAUAACCUACUCUAAUUUUAACGUAUUUUUAAUAAUGAAAAACUAAUUAAAUUGAAUAACUAAAUAAGAAAGUUAUGAUUAAUUGAUUGACCUAAUACGGGAAUAUUAGACCCAAUUCAAAAAUGUUAAACUAUAGUGUAUAACGGAAA